CACCAUUUUCUAUUAAUAAAUCCAAAAAAAAAGCAAAUAAACUGAGCAAGAAACAGAACGAGGGAGAAGGAGAAAAAAGUUCUCUCCGCCGCCGCAAAUCCGUCCAACCACCACCAUCUUCGUCAAAUCUCGCCGCCGCCGAAUCCGACCAACCACCACACCAUCAUAAUUAGAUUUUCGUUUUUGAAUCGGUUUUGAAUAGUGUUCUUUUCAAAUCUGAUUAAACCGAUG
rnacentral:lncRNA from 1 species